rnacentral:lncRNA from 1 species
GAAAAGAAAUAGAGGAGAGAGAAGGACAGGUGGCAAUAAACGAGUGGAGGAUAGAAGGAAGUCGUUGGACGCGCUAACAGAAAGUACGAGCCAAUAGAAAAUCGACAUGUGUUUUAAUUCUAUUGGGCGAGUUCAUUUGUUCUGUUACGCGUUAUUAAACAUAGUAGUCGUCUCUUUCGUUUUCAUUCAUUCAAAAAUUGAGAUUGUAAUCUUCUUAAAAACCUUGAUACAAUUCUAUAUUCAUCCUUUGUUCAUCUCUGGGAAAGAUCGUUCUAUCAUCCGGAUCUUUUAUAAGUGAACUUCUAUUUGGUGUUUUCAGGAACGGCGAAUCGAGUUAACGAGUUGAGUGAGCGAGUCAAGUGAGUCACGAGUCAUAACGAGCCAAACUCGUUAUCAUUGUGUCUACAAUAAAUCUGAGCUUAAAGAAAGAUCAUAUAAAAGAAAACAAAAAUAUAAUUAAAACCUAAACUAUUUGAGGCUUUCUUGUGAGAGAGCACGCACACAUUA